rnacentral:misc_RNA from 1 species
AACCAACAAAUUAGAUCUGCAUUUACUAAACGAAUGGAGUGUUCUACAAUUUAUGAAGAGCCUUCUGAGGAAUUUGAAGAAGAGAACUGUUUAAGUGUUAAUGUUGCCGGUCAGUGUGAACAUUCCACUUCUCAAACAAGUCCUGAAAAAUUGAAUUAUCAAAUAAGUUCCGAAAUGUCUAAUUGUCAAACAAAAUCGAAAAUAUGCAAUUCUCAGACAAGUCCUGAAAAAUCUCUGUCUGACUCAUCAACACUUCCAUGCACUAAUGUAACAACUGAUAACAAAGAAGGUACAUUGGAAAGUUGUUCUAGUGAACCUUUACCAAAACAAUUCCAAACCACUGACACAUCUAUCAAAAAAUGCAACACAAUCAGCUCAGAUACUGAGAAAAUACACGAAGUUGUAUUUUCAUAUGUUUCAACUCCUUCUGAUUUCUAUGUUUAUAUAAUAAACUCUGCAACUAUUGAGAGGCUUGCAGAUCUUGUCCAAAGUCUUAAUGAAAAGUUCUUGAGCCUAAAACCAACUGAACUCUUAGAACUCUCUGAAACCUUGAAAAUUGAGAUCAAUUCUUUAUGCUGUUGUUAUGACAAAACUGACCAAUCUUACCAUCGAGGCAUUAUUAUUGACUUCAAAUCUGCUCAGAAACCAAAUAAAAUGUCUGUUAAGGUUUUCUACAUGGAUUAUGGAUAUAUUGCCUGGAUUUCAAGAAAGCACAUUUACCCCUUGAAUAUAGCUUAUAAAAAGUUUCCUGCAUUAGCUGUGCAUUGUACAUUGGCUAGAAUAUGUCCUGUUGGUCAAAAGCCACAUCCUAGCGAUACAUAUAUCUGGCCAGAAAAGGCCAAGAAAGCAUUUAAGAAAAAUAUCAACUUCAAAGAUUCUUAUGUCAUGAAGAUUGUAUCUGGAAAUCUGCCAUCAACAUCAUUUAGUUUUCAACAAUAUCUGAGUCCACCAUUACAAGUUUUGAUUGCAACGUUGAGUGAUAAGAAAACAGAAAGUGCCCAGAAUGCAGAAAUCUGUAUCAACUAUGAAAUGGUUCGAUUGAACCAUGCAACACUUACAGAGAAGUCUGCAGAACUGGAACUGCUCAACUGGGAUCCAAUGUCUGUAGAUUAUACCUCACGGCGGAAUCGGUAUGAAAUUAAUGUUGAUGAUGCUCAGAUUGCCACACAAGGAUUCAUGGUUAAUGAUGAAAAAACAAUCUGCAAGUUUUACAGAGAAGGUCAAAAAUGUAAACUUGGAUCAAAAUGUCCAUAUAAACACAUAAGAGUACCAGAUGAUUGCCUCACAGUUGACAGAAGAGAAGUUGUUUGCAAAGAUGAUAGUUGUUCUGAAUUUGAACUACCAUUGGUUGGUUCUCUAGUUGGGGUAGAAGUUAGCGCUAUCAUAAAUCCUGCUCACUUUUAUUUGAUUUUACCUUGGGGCAAGGAUGCUAUCAAAGACCUGCAUGACAUGCCAGAUUACGAAACCAAGGAGGAAACUUUAGCAGACUUGCAGAAAGAUUUACAAGACUUCUAUAAGUUGUCUUUUCCCAAAACUGAAGAGAAUCUGUUUUGGGGAAUUGGUGAAUUAGUUGCAGCCCGGGCUGUCGUUGAUCAAGACUGGUACAGAGCACGCAUCUGUGAAGUAAAUGAUGUUAUAAAUGAGGUCAAGGUAUUCUUCAUUGAUUUUGGAAAUGUUCAGUGGAUUCCAGAGAGUAACAUACAGUCACUGGCCUCUCAGUUUACACAUCUUCCACACCAGUCUGUGGAAUGUUGUCUUAAUGGAAUAGUUUCAGCCUCUGAUAGUGGUUUAUGGACCCAAGAAGCCAAGGAUUAUUUUCUGGAAUUGGUUGAUGAUAAAGUAUUAGUUGCCUCCAUAAAAGCCAUAAUGUGCCGGCGCAUGUAUAUUGACCUUUACGACACAUAUCAGAUACCAGAGAAGAACAUUGCUGAUGAAUUAAUUCAAGCUGGAGUUGCAAAGAGGAAUCUGUCAGCAGAUGGAAAUUUAUCAACAGCUUCUAAUUUAACUCUGUCCAAGAACUACAUACCUGGAUAGAACUGUGACCUCACCAAUAACUUUGUACAUUAAAAUUAUGCUUUAUUUUUGAUAAUUCAACUCCAGCUGGUUUAUUUUUUAUAGCUUCACAUACCUGACUUACAGAUAAUCAUCAUCAUCGUUUAACGU